AUUGCACGCUGGCGGCAGGCCUAACACAUGCAAGUCGAGCGAGCGGCGGACGGGUGAGUAAUGUCUGGGAAACUGCCUGAUGGAGUGGGAUAACUACUGGAAACGGUAGCUAAUACCGCAUACCAUCAGAUGUGCCCAGCGGGGAUUAGCUAGUAGGUGGGGUAAUGUCUCACCUAGGCGCCGAUCCCUAGCUGGUCUGAGAGGAUGACAAGGCACACUGGAACGGAGACACGGGCCAGACGCCUACGGGAGGAAGCAGGGGGGAAGAUUGCACAAUGGGCGCAAGCCUGAUGCAUCCAUGCCGCGUGUGUGAAGAAGGCCUUCGGGUUGUAAAGCACUUUCAGCGUGUAGGCGUUACCCGCAGAAGAAGCACCGGCUAACUCCGUGCCAGCAGCCGCGGUAAUAC
rnacentral:rRNA from 1 species